rnacentral:pre_miRNA from 1 species
UCCCUGAGACCCUAACUUGUGAUGACUUUAAACAAUUUUCUUAUUCACAAGUUAGAUUUUCAGGUAUA